rnacentral:lncRNA from 1 species
CAUGAAGUGACAUCUCAUUACCCUAUUAAUUUCAAAUUCCUUGGUGACCUAGGAUGAUGUGCACCUUCUCACAUACUUAUUUGCCAUCUGUAUAUUUUCCUAGUUGAAGUGUCUGUUUAGAUCUUCUUGCCCAUUUUUAAAUUGGGGUGUUUGUUUUCUUAUUGUUGAAUUUUAAGAGUUUUUUGUGUAUUUUAGAUAACAAUCCUUUAUCAGAGGUCUUUUGUAAAUAAUUUCUCUCUGCCUGUGGGUUGUCCUUUCAUUCUCUUGACUGUCUUUGGCAGAGCAGGACUUUUAAUUUUUGCUGAGAGCCACAGCCAAGUAGGAAUGACGCAUGACAUUUUGGUUUGAAAGGUGACCCUGCUCCAGGUUUAGGGUGGAUCCUGCUAGGAAUAGGGCGGCUCCAGGAUUAGGGCGGAUCCUGAUCCUGCUGCCUCAAGCGCCCACUCCUUCUGAGUUCCCGUUGAGUUCUCGUGGGGUUCUGAGAGUAUUGGUAUGCAGAGCCCGGUGGAGGGAGUGGAUUUUCCCAGAACGUUCGUGUAGAGUGCCGGCGAGAGUUCGGGAAUAAAGAGUUGCUGUUUGAAUCUACAAGGCUUUUGUGGUGGCUCGGUUAUUUUGUGCCCAGCCAGACUGCAGCAAAUUUUAAUGAAGUCCAGUUUACCAGUUGGGUCUUCAUGAAUUACUCCUUUGACAUUAAAUCUAAAAAGUCAUCAUGAAACCUAGUCUUCUUAAAUUUCUCCCAUAUUAUCUUCUAGGAAUUUUAUGGGUUUCGUGUUUUACAUUUUGAUCCAUCUGAGUUAAUUUUUGUGGAGGACGUAAACACUACGUUUCAUGUUUUAAAACACUGGAGUCCAGUUGUUUCAGCCUCAAGUUUUCUGGCAAAGGAGCUAAGGAACUGCAACAAAGAUCAGUUUGAUUACAUUUCUAUGGGUCUGGUUCUCACUGGUCUAGUUGUCUGCCAGCUUCCCCAUACCACGCUGUCUUGAUGACUGUAGCUGUGUAAGCCUUGGGGUGAGAUAGUGUCAGUUUUCCAUUCUCAUUCUUCUCUUUCAAUAUCGUGUUGGCUAUUCUAGAUCUUUGCCUCUACAUAAACUCUAAAAUCCGUUUGUUAUUGUUCACAAAACAAUUUGCUGAGAUAGAUUGGGAUUGCAGUGAAUCUAUGGAUCAAAUUGGGAAGAAUUUCCACCAUUAAGCAUGAUAUAAGCUAUAGGUUUUUUGCAGAUAUUUAUCAAGGUGAGAAAGUGCCCCUGUGUUCCUAGUUUGUUGCAAGUGGUUUUUAAAAUAU